rnacentral:rRNA from 1 species
GCCUGACCCAGCAACGCCGCGUGAAGGAUGAAAUCCCUCGGGAUGUAAACUUCGCAAGAACGGGAAGAAUAAGUAAGAGUUAACAUCUCUUAUGAUGACGGUACUGUUUGUAAGCUCCGGCUAACUCCGUGCCAGCAGCCGCGGUAAUACGGGGGGAGCAAGCGUUGUUCGGAUUUACUGGGCGUAAAGGGCGCGUAGGCGGCCACCGCAAGUCGACUGUGAAAUCUCCGGGCUUAACCCGGAACGGUCAGCCGAUACUGCGGGGCUAGAGUGCAGAAGGGGCAACUGGAAUUCUCGGUGUAGCGGUGAAAUGCGUAGAUAUCGAGAGGAACACCUGCGGCGAAGGCGGGUUGCUGGGCUGACACUGACGCUGAGGCGCGAAAGCUAGGGGAGCGAACGGGAUUAGAUACCCCGGUAGUCCUAGCCUUAAACGAUGAAUGCUUGGUGUCUGGGGUUUUAUAGUCCCCGGGUGCCGUCGCUAACGCUUUAAGCAUUCCGCCCGGGGAGUACGGUCGCAAGACUG